rnacentral:rRNA from 1 species
GGGGGGGGGGGGGGGGGGGGGGAAGGGGUGGGGGGCGGGCGGGGGGGCCCGGGGGUUGUGGGGGGCUCGGGGGGGGAACGGGUGAGUAGCACGUGCGUAACCUGCCCUUGACUGUGGGAGCACUUCUGGACACUGGGGGUAAUACCGGAUAGGAGAUCCUGCUGCAGGGUGGGGGUUGGAAAGUUUCGGCGGUUGGGGAUUGACUCGCGGCUUAGCAGCUUGUUGGUGGGGUAGUUGCUUACCAAGGCUUUGACGGGUCGCCGGCCUGAGAGGGUGACCGGCCACAUUGGGACUGGGAUACGGCCCAGACUCCUACGGGGGGCAGCAGUGGGGAAUAUUGCACAAUGGGCGGAAGCCUGAUGCAGCAACGCCGCGUGCGGGAUGACGGCCUUCGGGUUGUAAACCGCUUUCGCCUGUGACGAAGCGUGAGUGACGGUAAUGGGUAAAGAAGCACCGGCUAACUACGUG